UACUCUUUCACUGGGUUCUGUACCCUGC
rnacentral:piRNA from 1 species